rnacentral:rRNA from 1 species
UUCGUAGGCGGUGCGGCAAGUCGGGAGUGAAAUCUCUGGGCUUAACUCAGAGGCUGCUUCCGAAACUGCCGUGCUCGAGUGCGGGAGAGGCGCGUGGAAUUGCAGGUGUAGCGGUGAAAUGCGUAGAUAUCUGCAGGAACACCCGUGGCGAAAGCGGCGCGCUGGACCACAACUGACGCUGAGGAACGAAAGCUAGGGGAGCAAACAGGAUUAGAUACCCUGGUAGUCCUAGCCCUAAACGAUCAGGACUUGGGGUGGCGCCCGUUCGGGCGUCGUCCCGGAGCUAACGCGUUAAGUCCUGCACCUGGGGAGUACGGUCGCAAGACUGAA